rnacentral:rRNA from 1 species
AAUACGUUCCCGGGCCUUGUACACACCGCCCGUCAAGUCACGAAAGUCGGUAACACCCGAAGCCGGUGGCCUAACCUUUUGGGGAGGAGCCGUCGAAGGUGGGACUGGCGAUUGGACU